rnacentral:rRNA from 1 species
UCGAGAAUCUUCCGCAAUGGACGAAAGUCUGACGGAGCGACGCCGCGUGAUGGACGAAGGCCCUCGGGUUGUAAACAUCUGUCGUAGGGGAGGAAAUUUUGACCGAUCCUAGGAGGAAGCACAGGCUAAACUCGUGCCAGCAGCCGCGGUAAUACGAGUUGUGCGAACGUUAUUCGGAAUCACUGGGCUUAAAGGGUGCGUAGGCGGGCGCGCAGGUCAGGUGUGAAAUCCCACGGCUCAACCGUGGAAUUGCGCUUGAAACCGCGUGUCUUGAGGGGGUCAGAGGAGAGCGGAACUGAUGGUGGAGCGGUGAAAUGCGUUGAUAUUAUCAGGAACACCGGUGGCGAAAGCGGCUCUCUGGGACCUUUCUGACGCUGAGGCACGAAAGCCAGGGGAGCGAACGG